rnacentral:lncRNA from 1 species
ACCUAAACCCAACAAAUUCCACACCCCCUCACAUUUUGAAUUGGCCAUCUUGACCCAUAAUACGCAAUAAUAGAAAUUAGGAACUAAAAACACCCCUGACCUGCGAAGGAUGAAAAGGAAAAAACGAAAAGAAGAAACCCAAUAGCAUAAUAUGGAGAGCAGGCGAAGAUUUGAGUGAAAUGGACAUGAAGAGAGGGAUCAUUUCUGGUAAUGCUGCGGCAUCCAUUAGGGUCAGAUCUGGUUUGUGUGUUUCGGGACCAAAGUGUGUGUACACAAUCCUUGUUGCAUAUAUGGAGUGACAC